CAGGGGACUGUGUUUUCUCUUUCAGUUUCACUUUUGUACUUGCAGUACAGACUACUGCCACGCUAGCUGGCUAGGUUGCUCUCUGCCACCCACCAAUGCCAAGCUGACCACCUGUGCCAUCCGCUGGACAAACAUAGUUACUGCAUCUGGAGUAGAAAUCAGGAGAAGAAAAACUUUGGAUACCAUCAAAGUUGAUCAAGAUUCGACUGGAAAAGGAAAAACCUCUCGAUGAGGACAAAUGACAGGUAUUCUACUAAGGUAUAUCUUAUAAACUAAAUAGAAACCUCCCAAAGGAAAGGGAAGUGUUUUGCUUUUAUCUUUACAGGAAACCUCAUCUCCAGAAGGCAAAGGACACUGCAUGGGUAGAUACUUAAGAAGAAAAGGUAGCUAUAACCAUCAAGCAAAAGGGACGUGACAUAUGGUAAACUUUACAGCUGUCUCUCAGAGAACUCUAUUUCUCUUUCUUUCCUAGUCCCUCUUCAAUUAAAUCAAUGCUGGAUUUAGAGGUGGACUUGGCUUUCCUCCUCUAAAAUCGAAGCACAUUAUUUAACUAAACUUUAGAGUUUCUGUAUUGUAUCAAGAAGCCAAUGAUGUAAUACAGAAUAAAAGAAGAAUUUGGGGACUUUCUCUGUCUUUUCUUGGAUCUUUCCCUCAAGGUGUACACCCUCUCAUAAUUGUUAUAGUCUCAUGAUUGUACUCCCCAGCACAUGUACAUCCACAAGCAAACAUUUCUCUGCUAACUGUUAAUGUUUGAGUCCCACACAGCCAAUGAAGACCUGCCUGACAGCAUUCCCUGGACACCCUCUAAAGAAAAU
rnacentral:lncRNA from 1 species